GACCUACGGGGGGCAGCAGUGGGGAAUAUUGGGCAAUGGGCGCAAGCCUGACCCAGCAACGCCGCGUGAAGGAAGAAGGCUUUCGGGUUGUAAACUUCUUUUCUGGGGGACGAAGAAAGUGACGGUACCCCAGGAAUAAGCCACGGCUAACUACGUGCCAGCAGCCGCGGUAAUACGGAGGAUGCGAGCGUUAUCCGGAUUUAUUGGGUUUAAAGGGUGCGCAGGCGGGAGAUCAAGUCAGCGGUAAAAUGGCGGGGCUCAACCCCGGCCGGCCGUUGAAACUGGUUUUCUAGAGUUGGAGAGAA
rnacentral:rRNA from 1 species